rnacentral:rRNA from 1 species
UACGUAGGGUGCAAGCGUUGUCCGGAAUUAUUGGGCGUAAAGAGCUCGUAGGCGGUUUGUCGCGUCGAAUGUGAAAACCCGGGGCUCAACCCCGGGCCUGCAUUCGAUACGGGCAGACUAGAGUUCGGUAGGGGAGUCUGGAAUUCCUGGUGUAGCGGUGAAAUGCGUAGAGAUCAGGCGGAACACCCGUGGCGAAGGCGGCCAGCUGGGCCGUCCCUGACGCUGAGGCGCGAAGGCGUGGGGAGCGAACGGG